CCCCCCUCAAGAUGAGAUUUCCCAAUUAGUAAGACCCCUUGAAGACGACGAGGUAGAUAGGUUGGGGGUGGAAGUGCAGUAAUGCAUGGAGCUGACCAAUACUAAUCGGUCGAGGGCUUAUCCUAA
rnacentral:rRNA from 1 species